rfam:Pyrenophora tritici-repentis Pt-1C-BFP supercont1.13 genomic scaffold, whole genome shotgun sequence.
UGGUCUCUUGCCUCGCUCAAUCCGCUGUUCCAUCAGCGGAUUUCGAGCUGGAUGCGCAAACAUUCCUUUUGGGGAAGUUUAGCGUACGAGACAAGAGUAAAAAACUGCGACGAUCUUUGAGUACGGAACCGGCUGAUAUCUAUCAUGUGUCGGACCUUCGUAAUUUAUCAGUCGAGACAUGC